rnacentral:rRNA from 1 species
AAUAUUGGACAAUGGGCGCAAGCCUGAUCCAGCAAUGCCGCGCGUGUGAAGAAGGCCUGCGGGUUGUAAAGCACUUUUAUUAGGAAAGAAAAACUCAAGAUUAAUACUCUUGACAUUGACGGUACCUAAAGAAUAAGCACCGGCUAACUCAGUGCCAGCAGCCGCGGUAAUACUGAGGGUGCGAGCGUUAAUCGGAAUUACUGGGCGUAAAGCGAGUGUAGGCGGCUAUAUAAGUCGGAUGUGAAAGCCCUGGGCUUAACCUGGGAAUUGCAUUCGAUACUGUAUAGCUAGAAUUUGAGAGAGGGAAGUGGAAUUCCGGGUGUAGCGGUGAAAUGCGUAGAUAUCCGGAGGAACACCAGUGGCGAAGGCGGCUUCCUGGCUCAAAAUUGACGCUGAGGCUCGAAAGCGUGGGGAGCAAACAGGAUUAGAUACCCUGGUAGUCCACGCCCUA